AAGUGGAUGAUCCUAUGCUGUCGAGAAAAGCCUCUAGCGAGUUUCAUGGCGGCCGUACCCUAAACCGACUCAGGUGGUCAGGUAGAGAAUACUGAGGCGUUCGGGUGAACUAUGGUUAAGGAACUCGGCAAAAUGCCCCCGUAACUUCGGGAGAAGGGGGGCCACAUCUGGUGAUGAGCUUUGCGCUCUGAGCUGGGGUGGCCGCAGAGACCAGCGAGAAGCGACUGUUUACUAAAACACAGGUCCGUGCGAAGCCGUAAGGCGAUGUAUACGGACUGACGCCUGCCCGGUGCUGGAACGUUAAGGGGACCGGUUAGCUCCAUUUCGGUGGGGCGAAGCUGAGAACUUAAGCGCCAUUAAACGGCGGUGGUAACUAUAACCAUCCUAAGGUAG
rnacentral:ncRNA from 1 species